rnacentral:rRNA from 1 species
AUUGAACGCUGGCGGCAGGCCUAACACAUGCAAGUCGAGCGGAUGAAGGGAGCUUGCUCCUGGAUUCAGCGGCGGACGGGUGAGUAAUGCCUAGGAAUCUGCCUGGUAGUGGGGGAUAACGUCCGGAAACGGGCGCUAAUACCGCAUACGUCCUGAGGGAGAAAGUGGGGGAUCUUCGGACCUCACGCUAUCAGAUGAGCCUAGGUCGGAUUAGCUAGUUGGUGGGGUAAAGGCCUACCAAGGCGACGAUCCGUAACUGGUCUGAGAGGAUGAUCAGUCACACUGGAACUGAGACACGGUCCAGACUCCUACGGGAGGCAGCAGUGGGGAAUAUUGGACAAUGGGCGAAAGCCUGAUCCAGCCAUGCCGCGUGUGAAGAAGGUCUUCGGAUUGUAAAGCACUUUAAGUUGGGAGGAGGGGCAGUAAGUUAAUACCUUGCUGUUUUGACGUUACCAACAGAAUAAGCACCGGCUAACUUCGUG